rnacentral:rRNA from 1 species
GUAGGUGGCAAGCGUUGUCCGGAAUUAUUGGGCGUAAAGCGCGCGCAGGCGGUUCUUUAAGUCUGAUGUGAAAGCCCACGGCUCAACCGUGGAGGGUCAUUGGAAACUGGAGAACUUGAGUACAGAAGAGGAAAGCGGAAUUCCACGUGUAGCGGUGAAAUGCGUAGAGAUGUGGAGGAACACCAGUGGCGAAGGCGGCUUUCUGGUCUGUAACUGACGCUGAGGCGCGAAAGCGUGGGGAGCAAACAGGGAUUAGAUACCCUGGUAGUCCACGCCGUAAACGAUGAGUGAUAAGUGUUAGGGGGUUUCCGCCCCCUUAGUGCUGCAGCUAACGCAUUAAGCACUCCGCCUGGGGAGUACGGCCGCAAGGCUG